UACGGGGGGUGCGAGCGUUGUCCGGAAUCACUGGGCGUAAAGGGCGCGUAGGCGGCUUUAUAAGUCGGGGGUGAAAGCCUGUGGCUCAACCACAGAAUUGCCUUCGAUACUGUAGAGCUUGAGACCGGAAGAGGUAAGUGGAACUGCGAGUGUAGAGGUGAAAUUCGUAGAUAUUCGCAAGAACACCAGUGGCGAAGGCGGCUUACUGGUCCGGUUCUGACGCUGAGGCGCGAAAGCGUGGGGAGCAAACAGG
rnacentral:rRNA from 1 species